CCUACGGGAGGCAGCAGUGGGGAAUAUUGGGCAAUGGGCGCAAGCCUGACCCAGCAAUGCCGCGUGAACGAAGAAGGCUUUCGGGUUGUAAACUUCUUUUAAGAGGGAAGAGCAGAAGACGGUACCUCUUGAAUAAGCCACGGCUAACUACGUGCCAGCAGCCGCGGUAAUACGUAGGUGGCAAGCGUUGUCCGGGUUUACUGGGUGUAAAGGGCGUGUAGCCGGGCUGACAAGUCAGAUGUGAAAUCCCGUGGCUCAAACACGGAACUGCAUGUGAAACUGGCGGUCUUGAGGGUCGGAGAGGCAGGCGGAAUUCCUGGUGUAGCGGUGAAAUGCGUAGAUAUUAGGAAGAACACCAGUGGCGAAGGCGGCCUGCUGGACGACAACUGACGGUGAGGCGCGAAAGCGUGGGGAGCAAACAGGAUUAGAUACCCGGGUAGUC
rnacentral:rRNA from 1 species